rnacentral:rRNA from 1 species
CCUACGGGAGGCAGCAGUGGGGAAUAUUGCACAAUGGGGGGAACCCUGAUGCAGCAACGCCGCGUGGGUGAAGAAGUACUCCGGUAUGUAAAGCCCUGUCAGCAGGGAAGAAAAUGACGGUACCUGACCAAGAAGCCCCGGCUAACUACGUGCCAGCAGCCGCGGUAAUACGUAGGGGGCAAGCGUUAUCCGGAUUUACUGGGUGUAAAGGGAGCGUAGACGGCAAGGCAAGUCUGGAGUGAAAGCCCGGGGCCCAACCACGGGACUGCUUUGGAAACUGUGUGGCUGGAGUGCAGGAGAGGUAAGCGGAAUUCCUAGUGUAGCGGUGAAAUGCGUAGAUAUUAGGAGGAACACCGGUGGCGAAGGCGGCUUACUGGACUGUAACUGACGUUGAGGCUCGAAGGCGUGGGGAGCAAACAGGAUUAGAUACCCGAGUAGUC